rnacentral:rRNA from 1 species
UGCUUGGGAAUAUGCCUUUUGGUGGGGGACAACAGUUGGAAACGACUGCUAAUACCGCAUGAUGUCUACGGACCAAAGUGGGGGACCUUCGGGCCUCACGCCAAAAGAUUAGCCCAAGUGGGAUUAGCUAGUUGGUAAGGUAAUGGCUUACCAAGGCGACGAUCCCUAGCUGGUUUAAGAGGAUGAUCAGCAACACUGGGACUGAGACACGGCCCAGACUCCUACGGGAGGCAGCAGUGGGGAAUCUUAGACAAUGGGCGCAAGCCUGAUCUAGCCAUGCCGCGUGAGUGACGAAGGCCU